rnacentral:rRNA from 1 species
ACGGGACCGCACAAGCGGUGGAUGAUGUGGUUUAAUCGAUGCAACGCGAAAACCUUACCCACCUUUGACAUGGCAGGAAUCCUGAAGAGAUUUGGGAGUGCUCGAAAGAGAACCUGCACACAGGUGCUGCAUGGCUGUCGUCAGCUCGUGUCGUGAGAUGUUGGGUUAAGUCCCGCAACGAGCGCAACCCUUGUCAUUAGUUGCCAUCAUUUGGUUGGGCACUCUAAUGAGACUGCCGGUGACAAACCGGAGGAAGGUGGGGAUGACGUCAAGUCCUCAUGGCCCUUAUGGGUAGGGCUUCACACGUCAUACAAUGGUCGGUACAGAGGGUUGCCAACCCGCGAGGGGGAGCUAAUCCCACAAAGCCGAUCGUAGUCCGGAUCGCAGUCUGCAACUCGACUGCGUGAAGUCGGAAUCGCUAGUAAUCGUGGAUCAGCAUGUCACGGUGAAUACGUUCCCGGGUCUU